ensembl:snRNA U6 U6 spliceosomal RNA
GUGUUUGCUUUGGCAGCACAUGUACUAAAAUUAGAAUGAUACAGAGAAGACUACAUGGCCCCAGAGCAAGGAUGACAUGCAAAUUCAUGAAGUAUUCCAUAUUUUU